rnacentral:rRNA from 1 species
UGAGGAAUAUUGGUCAAUGGGCGAGAGCCUGAACCAGCCAAGUAGCGUGCAGGAUGACGGCCCUAUGGGUUGUAAACUGCUUUUAUAAGGGAAUAAAGUGAGCCUCGUGAGGCUUUUUGCAUGUACCUUAUGAAUAAGGACCGGCUAAUUCCGUGCCAGCAGCCGCGGUAAUACGGAAGGUCCGGGCGUUAUCCGGAUUUAUUGGGUUUAAAGGGAGCGUAGGCCGGAGAUUAAGCGUGUUGUGAAAUGUAGACGCUCAACGUCUGCACUGCAGCGCGAACUGGUUUCCUUGAGUACGCACAAAGUGGGCGGAAUUCGUGGUGUAGCGGUGAAAUGCUUAGAUAUCACGAAGAACUCCGAUUGCGAAGGCAGCUCACUGGAGCGCAACUGACGCUGAAGCUCGAAAGUGCGGGUAUCGAACAGGAUUAGAUACCCUGGUAGUCCGCACGGUAAACGAUGGAUGCCCGCUGUUGGUCUGAACAGGUCAGCGGCCAAGCGAAAGCAUUAAGCAUCCCACCUGGGGAGUACGCCGGCAACGGUGAAACUCAAAGGAAUUGACGGGGGCCCGCACAAGCGGAGGAACAUGUGGUUUAAUUCGAUGAUACGCGAGGAACCUUACCCGGGCUUGAAUUGCAGAGGAAGGAUUUGGAGACAAUGACGCCCUUCGGGGUCUCUGUGAAGGUGCUGCAUGGUUGUCGUCAGCUCGUGCCGUGAGGUGUCGGCUUAAGUGCCAUAACGAGCGCAACCCCUCUCCUUAGUUGCCAUCAGGUCAAGCUGGGCACUCUGGGGACACUGCCACCGUAAGGUGUGAGGAAGGUGGGGAUGACGUCAAAUCAGCACGGCCCUUACGUCCGGGGCUACACACGUGUUACAAUGGCAGGUACAGAGAGAUGGUGUUCUGCAAAGCGCAUCAAAUCCUUAAAGCCUGUCUCAGUUCGGACUGGGGUCUGCAACCCGACCCCACGAAGCUGGAUUCGCUAGUAAUCGCGCAUCAGCCAUGGCGCGGUGAAUACGUUCCC